rnacentral:rRNA from 1 species
GAUGAACGCUGGCGGCGUGCCUAAUACAUGCAAGUCGAACGGUAAGGCCCUUCGGGGUACACGAGUGGCGAACGGGUGAGUAACACGUGGGUGGUCUGCCCUGCACUUCGGGAUAAGCCUGGGAAACUGGGUCUAAUACCGGAUAGGACCACUGCCUGCAUGGGUGGUGGUGGAAAGCUUUUGCGGUGUGGGAUGGGCCCGCGGCCUAUCAGCUUGUUGGUGGGGUGAUGGCCUACCAAGGCGACGACGGGUAGCCGGCCUGAGAGGGUGACCGGCCACACUGGGACUGAGAUACGGCCCAGACUCCUACGGGAGGCAGCAGUGGGGAAUAUUGCACAAUGGGCGCAAGCCUGAUGCAGCGACGCCGCGUGAGGGAUGACGGCCUUCGGGUUGUAAACCUCUUUCAGCACCGACGAAGCGCAAGUGACGGUAGGUGCAGAAGAAGGACCGGCCAACUACGUGCCAGCAGCCGCCGUAA